rnacentral:rRNA from 1 species
GACGAACGCUGGCGGCGUGCUUAACACAUGCAAGUCGAACGGAAAGGCCCUGCUUUUGUGGGGUGCUCGAGUGGCGAACGGGUGAGUAACACGUGAGUAACCUGCCCUUGACUUUGGGAUAACUUCAGGAAACUGGGGCUAAUACCGGAUAGGAGCUCCUGCUGCAUGGUGGGGGUUGGAAAGUUUCGGCGGUUGGGGAUGGACUCGCGGCUUAUCAGCUUGUUGGUGGGGUAGUGGCUUACCAAGGCUUUGACGGGUAGCCGGCCUGAGAGGGUGACCGGCCACAUUGGGACUGAGAGACGGCCCAGAAUCCUACGGGAGGCAGCAGUGGGGAAUAUUGCACAAUGGGCGGAAGCCUGAUGCAGCAAUGCCGCGUGCGGGAUGACGGCUUUCGGGUUGUAAACCGCUUUCGCAUGUGACGAAGCGUGAGUGACGGUAAUGGGUAAAGAAGCACCGGCUAACUACGUG